CGCUGGCGGCGUGCCUAAUACAUGCAAGUCGAACGGUCUUUCUAUGGAAGCUUGCUUCCACUGAGAAGAUAGUGGCGAACGGGUGAGUAACACGUGGGUAACCUGCCCAUAAGAGGGGGAUAACAUCCGGAAACGGGUGCUAAUACCGCAUAGUUUUCUUGAUCGCAUGAUCGGGAAAGGAAAGACGGCCUUUGUGCUGUCGCUUAUGGAUGGACCCGCGGCGUAUUAGUUAGUUGGUGAGGUAACGGCUCACCAAGACGAUGAUACGUAGCCGACCUGAGAGGGUGAUCGGCCACAUUGGGACUGAGACACGGCCCAAACUCCUACGGGAGGCAGCAGUAGGGAAUCUUCCGCAAUGGACGAAAGUCUGACGGAGCAACGCCGCGUGAGUGAAGAAAGGGUUUUCGGAUCGUAAAACUCUGUUGUCAGAGAAGAACAAGUUGGAGAGUAACUGCUCCAGCCUUGACGGUAUCUGACCAGAAAGCCACGGCUAACUACGUGCCAGCCGCUGC
rnacentral:rRNA from 1 species